rnacentral:rRNA from 1 species
UACGGGGGGAGCAAGCGUUGUUCGGAUUUACGUGGCGUAAAGGGCGCGUAGGCGGCGUGACAAGUCACUUGUGAAAUCUCCGGGCUUAACCCGGAAAGGUCAGCCGAUACUGCGGGGCUAGAGUGCAGAAGGGGCAACUGGAAUUCUCGGUGUAGCGGUGAAAUGCGUAGAUAUCGAGAGGAACACCUGCGGCGAAGGCGGGUUGCUGGGCUGACACUGACGCUGAGGCGCGAAAGCUAGGGGAGCGAACGGG